rnacentral:rRNA from 1 species
CCUACGGGUGGCAGCAGUGGGGAAUAUUGCACAAUGGGGGACACCCUGAUGCAGCGACGCCGCGUGAGUGAAGAAGUAUUUCGGUAUGUAAAGCUCUAUCAGCAGGGAAGAAGAAGGACGGUACCUGACUAGGAAGCCCCGGCUAACUACGUGCCAGCAGCCGCGGUAAUACGUAGGGGGCGAGCGUUAUCCGGAUUCACUGGGUGUAAAGGGAGCGUAGACGGCCAAGCAAGCCAGGGGUGAAAGCCCGGGGCCCAACCCCGGGACUGCCCUUGGAACUGCAUGGCUGGAGUGCGCGAGGGGCAGGCGGAAUUCCUGGUGUAGCGGUGAAAUGCGUAGAUAUCAGGAGGAACACCGGCGGCGAAGGCGGCAUGCUGGCCCGCGACUGACGUUGAGGCUCGAAAGCGUGGGGAGCGAACAGGAUUAGAUACCCCAGUAGUC